GGUGCUGUGGCAUAGCGGGUAAAGCCACCGCCUGCAAUGCCGGCAUCCCAUAUGGGUUCAAGUCUCGUCUGCUCCA
rnacentral:tRNA from 1 species